rnacentral:rRNA from 1 species
AUUGAACGCUGGCGGCAUGCCUAACACAUGCAAGUCGAGCGGAGCGGCUGACGGGAGAGUAAUGCCUAGGAAUCUGCCUGGUAGUGGGGGAUAACGUCCGGAAACGGGCGCUAAUACCGCAUACUAUCAGAUGAACCUAUGUCGGAUUAGCUAGUUGGUGGGGUAAAGGCCUACCAGGGCGGCGAUCCGUAACUGGUCUGAGAGGAUGAUAAGUGACACUGGACCUGAGACACGGUCGGGACUCCUACGGCAGUGAGAAGUGGGAGAUAUUGGACAAUGGGAGAAAGGCUGAUCUGGGCAUGCCGCGUGUGUGAAGAAUGUCUUCGGAUUGUAAGGCUCUUUAAGUUGGGAGGCAUUACCAACAGAAUAAGCACCGGCUAACUACGUGCCAGCAGCCGCGGUAAUUC